AUCCGUGUUAAGGCGAUAUCCUAUACAUCAUGUCCGUCAUGAUUCUAUAUAACAAUUCUAUUUGGCAAAUAAAGGCCAGAUAGCAAAGCUAUACGCACAGUUUUAAGUUACCAACGGCGUUAUAGGCGACAACUAAAAAGAAGAAAUGGUCGACAAAACAAAAUGUAAAGUGUUUUGCACGAUCCUACUCUGCCUCUUCCAAUUAAGUUUGGAACUGGCAGCAUUGUUCAACCCUGAAUGGAUAGUGGCAAAAAAUGCUACAUUAGCUUUCGUUGAGAAUUUUCAAAAUCCUGUCAACCCCGACUCUAUGGACUCGCUGGUUAAAACAAAUCUACUCUCUGGGAACGAAAGUGCAAAUUCGAUAGGAACAACAAUAGCACCAGUGAAGAAGGAUGAAAACUCGAUAUAUCUUAGCGCUGCAAUCGGGUUGUUGGAAACGCUGAUUAAAGGAACAACGUUACCAGAAAAUAGAGAAGGUUUGAAAGGUGUGGUCGGAUUCAUCGUAGUGUCUUUAAUCGCAUCUUUUUUGGCCUUUUACACAGCAUCUCUUUGCUAAAUAAAGAAAUGUGCAAGAAUUGCGAAAUAUGCGAAUAUCCUAACCAAAAAUGCCAAAAGUGUUUAAAAUCUAUUGUUGAAAAACUAAGGACGAUUGCAAAAAGUAACUAUGCAGCAGGCGUCAGUGCAGCAGCAGCAAGUGCGAUGUUUGUCUACACUACAGAUGACUUGGUCGACGUUUCAUUCGGAUGGAGUUUUAUACUAGAAGUUUCUGCAUCAGUAUUACCGUGUUUCACUUUCUUUUGUAAUAUCUGUAUGGAAGAAGACCCAAACACUGUAUCAGCGGAAAAUCAAGAUGGGGCUAAUGAGCAUAGGCAUCAAGAUACACAAUGCUGAUCAAGUGUAAAUUAAACAGAGUAUACACAUAUACGUAAAAAAAGUAACAUACCAUUAUAUGAUACCCAGAUUGUGGAGUGUGUAUUAGCCUACUUACAAAAACCUAAAAAUGGAUAUGGCAUUUUUUUAGUAAUUUUCGUAUUUGUCAGUAAUUUCGUGUUAUAUUAAACAGUUCAUUUCCGACAUUGUAUUUUUGUUAUAUAUGUGCGCGUACUCAUUUGGUUAAUAAACAUCUAUACUCCCUCGC